GUAAACCCUAACCUGUCCUCUCCUCUCAAAUUCCCCUCUCCUCUCAAAUUCCUCACUAUCAAUUUCGAUAGAUUUCAAUAUCUUUGAACUACCACCGCACCACAACACCACCUAUUGAGAAAGGCUCUUCAUCUUCGUUCAACACCCCUUCUUUCUUGUUCAAUAGCCCCUACGGAUUUUAGGUUGAAAAGGAUUUGUUCUUAUGAAAUGGCUAUCUUAUCUGGUGCCCUGUUUCUUAGAGUUUCAUUUGUUGUGUAGCAUGGAAGGCAUUUGAAAUUGAUCCCUAUUCUGUCCAUGGCUUCCAUUGUUGAAUCUUCUUGGACACUACGUUCAUCUCACUUUUCCAUUGUGGGCCUAAGCAACAACUGAGUCUGGCAUGGCGGUUGUGUGGUCGUUGGUUGAUGAAAAUAAAGACGGUGAGUGAAGCGAGUGAAGAAGGGAAUCGGACAAACGAAGAGCGCUUGCAUUGCUGCUGUGUUCUGCCAUGGUUUUCAGACUCAUAGAGCUUUUAUUCAUGUUCAAUGAUUCAUGGAGUUAGAAGAAGAAUAUGAAUUAUGUUUGUUUAUGGCAUUUUGGGCUGGGUAUUUUAAUCCUAGUAAAGUGUUUAUUUAAAUCUGUGUUGGGGGUUGUUUGGAUGUGCUUUACAAAACGGACUAACUGCUUAUUUUAACUCGAGUCGGAAUAAUAUGUUUUUGCUGUUACGAUGUGCUUUACAGUUACGGGUCAAAUUUUCAUGUCUAAAUCAGACCAAAGCCAGGUUAACCUUGAUCCAAUAUUAACUUGACCAAUUCUAUUUGAGUGAGAACUUUCUACAAUGAUAUUGCUAUGUCAUUCUGCAGAGAACGGGUCGGAUAAAAGCGGAUCGCUCUACAAUCUCUUUUAUAAUACUUUUAUAAAUUCUCCAUUGAUAUGUUCGAUUAGGGAGUUUAAAAAGCUGAAAUGAUGAAUUUAAACCGAUUUACUUAAUUCUCCAAUUAAGUUUGAUCCAACUGAUUUACGCGGCUAGAUUUAAUAUAAUCUGUAUGUACAAGUUUAUCUGUAGUUUGUACAAGUAAGAAAAAGACUAGUUUUUUUCCUUUUAAGUCGCAUAGAUCUAUGAGCAUGAAAUCAUUUGUAUUCUUUGCUUAAUGGUUCCUAUGUACACAUCUUUUCCAAAAAUACUCAGGUUCAAGUUUUGUUGAUCAAAAGUCUGCUAUUUUUUUAUCGCAACUUAUCUUUUAUUUUGCCAUUUCAGGUAUUCCUACAUCAGUUCUACCAUGUAUUUUAUUACAAAUAGUAUUGUUCUUGAUAUAAUUUGUUGUGCUUAUAAGUUUUUAUAAACUUCAUACAGAUUCAAUAGAGAACGCGCUGUUGAUUUUCUUAUGAGAGAAAUCAACACAAAUUGCUUUUCUGUUGGGUAAGCCGAUUUAUAUAAUUUAGUAUAGUUCAUCUACGAGUUCAAUGUUAUAUUCCGUUAAUAUUGAUCAUGUUUUCUUGUAGGAUCUUUCACACUGUACUGACACUGGUUUUUUUACGGUUGAGAAUAAUAGCCAAAAGUUGCUUUUAAAGGGAAUUAGAAAGUUAUGGGAAAAGCAAGAACCCAAUCUUCCAUGGGAAAUAGGAGAGUAUGAUGCGUCAAAUACACUUUUAGUGGACACUAAGUCACAUAGGGCUCUACCUAAUCCCGUUAGUGCCUUUUUGUUAUGAUUCGUUUUAUUUUUAUUUUGGUUCUUCACAGUUAAAGCUACGAUCUCUGUUAACUUUACCUUUUUCCCCUUUUCAGCCACAUACAACAAUCUUUCCUUACCCUUAUUGUCACUGGCAUAAAGAACAUAAUUCUUUAGGUGAUGGCAAUUCCGACAACCAGGGGUGUUGAAAAAAACCACCCAAUCUUUUGGCUGAAGAGCGUAAAGUGAUGUCAAAAGAAGUUGAGUAUAGUCAGUUGGCUAAUGUAGCGACAAUAAGUAGUAAGUGCUGGGAAUUAUGAAGUGGAAGUAUGGCUACUAAGAAAACGUUAUCACAAUGAUUAUUUAACUCGCAUGAAGAUUGUGAAAGAGAUUCAUGAACACAAUGAAGUUUUGAGUUUUUAUUCAUACACUUGUUAGUUUAUUUGGGUUAUAUGUUUGAUCAUUAGAAUUAGACCGACACUUAUUAGACAUUUGGAAUCUUUGGAAGAUUGAUUGAACUUUUAAUUGAAGUGAUUAUU
rnacentral:lncRNA from 1 species